AUGAAUUUGCAAUUGCUGCUUCUUGGUAUAUUUGUUUCAGAAGUUACAAAUACCGAUGGAGAAUCUAACACACUUAAAAACCUCGCUCAAACACGCAGUUUCAUAGACAAAUCCUUACUAAUCAAGUACAUCCUAGAUAGCCGUAGGCACAUCUACAUCGAGGCCCCUCCCGGUUUCGGCAAAACUACUAACCUUCAAUUGGUUCAAGAUUUCUUCACCAUGGAGAUCGACUCAUAUGGAUACGCCAUCAAUGCGGCAAAUCUCUUGAAAACCGACAAAAUCUUUCAGGGCGUUCUGCAGAAGUAUAGAGAGCGUCACGGAAACACCUCCACAGAAUGCACAGCUUCCGAAAAAGACACCAAAGGUGAAUCCGCUCCCGUGACCGUCACGAAACCUGUCAAUGCUAUCGGAGACCACCUGAAGAACUACGUGACCUUUUCGAAGCCGCGCUUGAAAAUACUGGAGGAUUGGCCGGAGCUUUUCGAGUCCCAGUUUGCUCGGUAUCCUGUCCUCAUGAUAGACUUGGGGGUAUUAUCUACAAAUUCUUAUCAGAACUACAAAAGCUCUUUUACCAAAAUGGUUUCACGGCUCUUCGAACAAUUUAAAUACUUGUUAUUGAGCAAGCGGUUGACCAAACUCACCAAGGAUGAAUUUUUACUCUUCCGCGAUGAGUCUAAAGAACUGAGUGUAGAUGAGGUUGUGCUUGGGGGAGAAAAGUUGGUCCAUCUAUUGUCACAUCAUCAUCAGCGAAAAUCGAUAGUUUUAGUCGAUAAUUUUGACAUACCAAUUCGCAAGGCUCUUUUCGCGCAAAAACUUGAUCAGGAAAGUUUUACGAGGAUCGUGAAGGAUGUUUGUCGAUUUGUCGAGUUGCUUAUAAAAAGCGAGGAUGUGUUCCGGACCGUAGUAACGGGCAGUCUCAGAAUCGACAUCACAGAUGGACUGAUGCACCUUCCCGUCUUCCAGGAUGAAUUUUUGUAUCAGUAUUACGGCCUAACGGAAGAUAAUGUCUCAGAGCUUGCUCGGCGCUUCAACAAAGAAAAACACAUUGCCAAGGUCAGAACUUGGUACAGUGGUUACAAAGCAGGGCGUAAAGGUCAUAAUAUCUACAACACACGCUCAACGUUGAGCUGCUUUGAGACGGGUCGGCUCGAACCGUACCGAAAUGAGUCCAUACAUUUUAAAACUUUAAAAAAGCUCUUGACUUUUGACAGGAUGGGCCGUGAAAUAGAGGAUGCCUUCGAUAAUAAGACACGACUCCUCAUCAGGCAAAAGAUACCGCUGAGGUCUCUCGAGCAACUUCGCCGAUCGAUUUUUGAACUCAAUCAAACUUCAUCUGUUGUUCAUCGGGAUUUGAUCCUGCAAGUCCUCCUCGACCAUGGAUUUUAUACCGUCUACGACGGCAACAGACUCAGUGUACCGAACUUUGAGACAAAGUUGGACAUCAAUAAUCUGAUCUUCGACCGAGCAUACUACCUCACUAAACUAAAUAUAACUAACCAGACCAUUGAUGACUUUGUUCAGAGCAUUGAGCGAAUCAAUGGGGAGGAGGCAUCUCUCCACAACUUCUCCGUAGCGGUCACGGAACUCUUCAAUACCGCCUGCCGCGAGGAUCGCGUGAACUGGCGCACACCCUGCUCACUCUAG
rnacentral:lncRNA from 1 species